rnacentral:rRNA from 1 species
UACCAGCACCCCGAGUGGUCGGGACGAUUAUUGGGCCUAAAGCAUCCGUAGCCGGUCAUGCAAGUCUUCCGUUAAAUCCAGCCGCUCAACGGUUGGGCUGCGGAGGAUACUACGUGGCUAGGAGGCGGGAGAGGCAAGCGGUACUCAGUGGGUAGGGGUAAAAUCCUUUGAUCCAUUGAAGACCACCAGUGGCGAAGGCGGCUUACUGGGGCCUUUCUGACGCUGAGGAACGAAAGCUAGGGGAGCGAACGGG